ACCAUCAUAUCAGCCUCAAACCCUCUUACUCGCAUCUUUGAAACUAAUCGUUUGACCGAUAAUAAUUACAAAGACGGGCUCAGAAAUCUCAGAAUUAUCUUGACUUCAGAAAAGUUAAGCCAUAUUCUUGAUCAAGAUCCUGUUGUGUUACCAAACUAUCCUACUACUGAGCAGAGACUACUUUUAAGAAUUGAACGGAUGAAAAUAGUCAGAUCAAGUGCUAUGUGCUGGUAUCUAUGUCAAACAAGUUGCAAAGCCAGGACGAGCAUAUACCCACUAUCCGGGC
rnacentral:lncRNA from 1 species